rnacentral:rRNA from 1 species
GCCAGACUCCUACGGGAGGCAGCAGUGAGGAAUAUUGGUCAAUGGACGAGAGUCUGAACCAGCCAAGUAGCGUGAAGGAUGACUGCCCUAUGGGUUGUAAACUUCUUUUAUAUGGGAAUAAAAUGUUCCACGUGUGGGAUUUUGUAUGUACCAUAUGAAUAAGGAUCGGCUAACUCCGUGCCAGCAGCCGCGGUAAUACGGAGGAUCCGAGCGUUAUCCGGAUUUAUUGGGUUUAAAGGGAGCGUAGGUGGAUUGUUAAGUCAGUUGUGAAAGUUUGCGGCUCAACCGUAAAAUUGCAGUUGAAACUGGCAGUCUUGAGUACAGUAGAGGUGGGCGGAAUUCGUGGUGUAGCGGUGAAAUGCUUAGAUAUCACGAAGAACUCCGAUUGCGAAGGCAGCGUACCGGCUCCACACUGACGCUGAGGCACGAAAGCGUGGGUAUCGAGCAGGAUUAGAUACCCGAGUA